UCCUACGGGAGGCAGCAGUAGGGAAUCUUCCGCAAUGGAUGAAAGUCUGACGGAGCAACGCCGCGUGAGUGAUGAAGGCUUUCGGGUCGUAAAACUCUGUUGUUAGGGAAGAACAAGUGCUAGUUGAAUAAGCUGGCACCUUGACGGUACCUAACCAGAAAGCCACGGCUAACUACGUGCCAGCAGCCGCGGUAAUACGUAGGUGGCAAGCGUUAUCCGGAAUUAUUGGGCGUAAAGCGCGCGCAGGUGGUUUCUUAAGUCUGAUGUGAAAGCCCACGGCUCAACCGUGGAGGGUCAUUGGAAACUGGGAGACUUGAGUGCAGAAGAGGAAAGUGGAAUUCCAUGUGUAGCGGUGAAAUGCGUAGAGAUAUGGAGGAACACCAGUGGCGAAGGCGACUUUCUGGUCUGUAACUGACACUGAGGCGCGAAAGCGUGGGGAGCAAACAGGAUUAGAUACCCUGGUAGUCCACGCCGUAAACGAUGAGUGCUAAGUGUUAGAGGGUUUCCGCCCUUUAGUGCUGAAGUUAACGCAUUAAGCACUCCGCCUGGGGAGUACGGCCGCAAGGCUGAAACUCAAAGGAAUUGACGGA
rnacentral:rRNA from 1 species